rnacentral:tRNA from 1 species
GGGGAUGUAGCUCAGUGGAUAGAGAGCUUGCUUAGCAUGCAUGAAGCCGAGUUCCAUUUCCUCAUUCCCA